GAUGAACGCUGGCGGCGUGCCUAAUACAUGCGAGUCGAGCGAACGGACGAGAAGCUUGCUUCUCUGAUGUUAGCGGCGGACGGGUGAGUAACACGUGGAUAACCUACCUAUAAGACUGGGAUAACUUCGGGAAACCGGAGCUAAUACCGGAUAAUAUUUUGAACCGCAUGGUUCAAAAGUGAAAGACGGUCUUGCUGUCACUUAUAGAUGGACCCGCGCUGCAUUAGCUAGUUGGUAAGGUAACGGCUUACCAAGGCAACGAUGCAUAGCCGACCUGAGAGGGUGAUCGGCCACACUGGAACUGAGACACGGUCCAGACUCCUACGGGAGGCAGCAGUAGGGAAUCUUCCGCAAUGGGCGAAAGCCUGACGGAGCAACGCCGCGUGAGUGAUGAAGGUCUUCGGAUCGUAAAACUCUGUUAUUAGGGAAGAACAUAUGUGUAAGUAACUGUGCACAUCUUGACGGUACCUAAUCAGAAAGCCACGGCUAACUACGU
rnacentral:rRNA from 1 species